GUUGGACUGCAGGGAAGCGGGCAGUGUAUGCUAAUAUGAAUCUCUACAGAGGCGAGCCUACUGUGUUUUGAUUUGGCGAUGACGCAAAUUGACAAUCGUCAAUCCACCUCGCUCGGAAUAUGCUCCAAGAAUAUUCGGUGACGUUCUCAAAAGGAAAACAACAGGAAGCGAGGAGGUUCGCCGAGAGUGUGAAGAUUUGAUCUAAGUUACGGACGGGGCGGGUGGUGCAACAUGGCGAGCACAAAAGCGAGGUGCAUGUGUCGCCAUUCACGUUUGACCUAAUAGGGUCAAGGUCAGAGUGUCACUUCCAUGUCCAACAUGAAAAAAAGUCUAAUUGCUCUUCUGCGCUGGAGCAGAUGGCAGCUUUCUGGUUGCAAAGGCAAGGUCGCCGUGUGAAUUAAUGGCGCCAUAAGGAACAGCCAAUUAGGCGAGCCUUUGUAAAAGUAGGCCAAAUGGAGGUUGGAGGUCUCUCAAAACUCUAAGAAGUGCAAAUGCAGUCAGACGCCAUAGAGGACAUGAAACGGCAGGGUAU